UGCCUUCGCGUGUUGCCCAUCCGUUGAUUUCUACAACGGAUGUGGUGUCAGAAAAGGCAUAAAUCAAAUCUUGGGUCGGCCUUAGCGGGUUUCCUCAAUGGUGGAGCUCGUCCUAAGUUCUAUACCAAGAACAUUA